rnacentral:rRNA from 1 species
AGCAGCCGCGGUAAUUCCAGCUCCAAUAGCGUAUAUUAAAGUUGUUGCAGUUAAAAAGCUCGUAGUUGAACUUCAGGCCUGGCUGGACGGUCCGCCUUCCGGGCGAGUACUGUCUGUGGUCGGGUCCUACCUUCUGGCGAAGCGUCAUGGCCUUAACCGGCCGUGGCGGGGAACCAGGACUUUUACUGUGAAAAAUUAGAGUGUUCAAAGCAGGCAAUUCGCUUGGAUACAUUAGCAUGGAAUAAUGGAAUAGGACAAUGGUUCUAUUUGUUGGUUUCUAGGACUGUUGUAAUGAUUAAUAGGGAUAGUUGGGGGCAUUAGUAUUCAAUUGUCAGAGGUGAAAUUCUUGGAUUUAUUGAAGACUAACUACUGCGAAAGCAUUUGCCAAGGAUGUUUUCAUUAAUCAAGAACGAAAGUUAGGGGAUCGAAGACGAUCAGAUACCGUCGUAG